GAUGAACGCUGGCGGCGUGCCUAAUACAUGCAAGUCGAGCGAACGGACGAGAAGCUUGCUUCUCUGAUGUUAGCGGCGGACGGGUGAGUAACACGUGGAUAACCUACCUAUAAGACUGGGAUAACUUCGGGAAACCGGAGCUAAUACCGGAUAAUAUUUUGAACCGCAUGGUUCAAAAGUGAAAGACGGUCUUGCUGUCACUUAUAGAUGGAUCCGCGCUGCAUUAGCUAGUUGGUAAGGUAACGGCUUACCAAGGCAACGAUGCAUAGCCGACCUGAGAGGGUGAUCGGCCACACUGGAACUGAGACGCGGUCCAGACGCCUACGGGAGGCAGCAGUAGGGAAUCUUCCGCAAUGGGCGAAAGCCUGACGGAGCAACGCCGCGUGAGUGAUGAAGGUCUUCGGAUCGUAAAACUCUGUUAUUAGGGAAGAACAUAUGUGUAAGUAACUGUGCACAUCUUGACGGUACCUAAUCAGAAAGCCACGGCUAACUACGUG
rnacentral:rRNA from 1 species